GACAGCUUCCUCCUAAGUGUGGGAUGGAUUAUGGAAUGAUGAAUGGACCACAAAAUGGAUUCAUUGAACUCCUAAGAGAGUGAAAGCCCUGGACUGUGAGCAGUGAGCACAGAAGAAAUGAGAACAUUCCUUGUCCCCUCUCUACCCCAGAUGUCCCCACUAAAAUCGACCCAAGUAACUUCUGGAUUUUCUGAGUGACAGAAGUUAUUGACAUACCAAAUUGGUACUGCGAGUGAACAUUUUGCUAUUCCUGAUGAUGUGAUUUGAAGUCUCUGCAAAUAUAUGGUGGGAAGAAUUUGGAAAUGUUUUGGAUACUGUCUAGGAAAGGCUUGAAAUGCUGGCCUCAAAACUAAGAGUUUGUCCUGAGUCUCAGAAGAAAUUUGGACUUGAAUUUUUGAGCAAUACUGGAACUGUGAAACUAUAUGGACUCUUGAUUAGGAACUGAAUACUUUCUGCGUUGCGAUAAACAUGAGCUUUUGUGGGUCAGGUAUAGAUAUCUCCUCCAUUUAGAUGAGAUGUGUUUGGCUACACAGUUGACAGAACGUGGGCUGUGACGUUUAAUCAGGCUAAGUUGAUUAGAUUGAGAAGGGGCUAGGAGACUAGGAAAGCACAUCCCUGGGUAUGUCUGUGCGGUCAUUUCUCAUGUGUAAUGAAGUGGGGAAAACCUGGUUAUCUUCAGCUAUAAACUUUAAUAAUUUUUAACAGUUCUUUAAAUUAUGUGUCUGUCUUAUAUCUAUAUGUUACAAUUCUUUUUCUUUUCCUCUGUCAUUUCAUGUUAUAGAAAAUCUUUUGUUGGCUGAUCGGAAUUUUUUCGAUAUGGCUCAUUACUUGUGACUGAAUGAAUGUUCCAGCAAGGAUGUGUUAUACUUGUAGUAAAAUGUCUUCAUAGCUGCUUCUUGUUUAGUUGCAGCUGGUUUUGAAGUAGUUCUUUUUCCAGCACAGAUAUUUUCCUUAGUGCAUCCAAUCUCUUCUGCUGCAAAUCGUCUUUCAGUUGAGAAAAUUUGUGUGGUUUGCAGACUUGAUAGGUGACUUUUUGGUUUGGUGACUCGGUCUGAUUUGUGGGUACUCAAUAAGGAAGUCCUUAGAAUACACCUGCUCAUAGGGAUUCAGUUGUUCACUUGAGAUGGAGGAGUGUGGACUGGGGAGAGGGGCUGGCACCCACUGAGACUGCAUCGAGAUUUAGUUCUUGUAACUGCUCUAGAAUUCCUCACAUCUUGUGGUUUUUCUCUUGGUUUAGUUUCAUCUUGAGGUUUUACUCAAGGUCUCAUUGUUGUUGUGAUUUCUCCAUUGGGGCAUUAAUACUAAUGCCUGUAAUAUUAAGAUCACGCUCAUGUGCUUUAAUCUGUUCCAAUUCUCUGGCUUAAAUAAACAUGGUAAGUAGUGUGCAGGGUUUGAAGUACACAUUUGGUUGUUGAGUUAUGGUGGGGUAGUGUAGGUUCUUUAGAUUUCAGAUUAUAUUGACUUAUCCCUGGGGACUUCCAAUACUAUAUUUAUGUUUAUUUGUGUUCACUGAGGACAGUGAGUGGGGCUAAUUCCUUAGCCCGAGGAGGUAGAAGGCCAGUGGGUUUGCCUGCUAACUUUGUGGGGCUAGCUUUCAAUCCAGGAUCUUGGUGCUCCCAGUGGCCUUGUCCACUGUAGUGUCCUAGGCUGGUGAAUGAGUUCCAGCAGCCUGGAUAUCAGCAGAUAUAGCCUCAGCUGACUGAGAGCUCUCAGUUUCUUGUGUGCUCUUCCUGAGCAGGUGGUCCUGUCUUGCUUUAAAUCCUCUACUUCCCAAGUAGCUUGGGCAGCCUGGGUUAUGAAGGUACCUCCUUUUGCUGUUCAGAGGUUUGAGAGCUCGGCUCCAAUCUUGGUGGGGGAAGCAGCCUUGCUGGGUUUCAGCCUCUUGGCUGCAACCCUGUCAGCCAGGUGUUCAGUGGCUUGUUGCUCAGCUCUUUUGGGGCUCAUGUCAAAGGACAUCCUCUAAGUGAUCUUUGGGAGGACUGGUCCAAUUGAACAUCAUCUGCUGCUGAUGUGGAAGUGUUUCCAACAGAUUUACCCUUAACAGUUAGAGAGCUGGCAGGUGUUUUUGUUAGUAGGACAUUUGAAUCUUGUCCCUUCUUGAUUUGUGUAGUGGCACUGGUAGGCCUUAGGGACGUCUUGCGCUGUUUUUCCUGUCUUGGUGUGUGAGUGGGCCAGGAGCAGUGGAUUUUCCUUCAUUGUGGCCUUAUGCCUGGUGGCAGGAGGUCUGGAGCCUCUGCGGGGAUUGGGUCAGAUUGCAUUGUCUUGGGGACCUCUGAGGACACCUUGCCCUUGAUUGUUUUAGUCUCUUUGCUGAAUAUUUCCUGGCAGCCAGGUUCCAAAUGCCUCUGCUUUCAAUUAAAGGUAUAGGGGAUACAGGUGAUGACUGGGUGUCCAUGGUGGUAAUGCUGUCUUCAUCUCUGCUCCCUGAGGAGCUGAGGGGUUGCUCCUCAAAGAGGGGGACUUGUGCUGAAUCUGGCUGCUGCCUCAGAGGAGGUGGUACACUAGGUCCUUCCGUGGCCUGAAAUCCAGAAGGAUCUUGGUGGAUGAAUCUCCUGAGUGGCCACAACAGGAGCCCCCAUGGAUGGUUUUUGGGCUGCUGCAUCCUCUCCGUGUGGACUUAGGGGGACUGGAUAUCACCAACCCAGGAUACUCUGCAGAUGAUGCUUCUUGGCGGCCAGCGCAGGAGCCCCAGUUGGUGUUUCAGUCCCUACAUGGGAAGCAGUGCACACUGGUAUAUAUCAAAACCUGUGGAGGUUCUGCACAGAUGUUCCUCUGGGUGACCUGACCUUCAUCAUCAACUGAGGAUGAUUCUCUGGGGUGACCUGACCUCACCAGCAAGUGUGGAGGGUCUGUGGGGUAUUCCUCUGGGGUGACUUGAUCUUCAUCAGCAACUGCAGAGGGUCUGGCGGAUGAUCUUCCGGGGUGAACUGACCUUCAUCAUCAACCGAGUGGGUCAGCGUGGAUGUUCCUCUGGGGUGGCCAACAGAGCAGCCCCAAGGGAUCUUUGGGUGCUCUGUCCAUUCUACGUGCACUCAGGACUUUGCCAGAAACCUCAGAUGGUCUUCAACGAUGUUCAUUUGGGGUGGCUGAUAGAACAGCCCUAAGGGAUCUUUGGAGUUCUCUGUCCACGCCACACUCACUCAGGACUUUGUCAGAAAUCUCAGAUGGGCUUCAAGGAUGUUCCUCUGGGGUGGCUGAUAGAACAGCCCCAAGGGAUCUUUGGGGUGCUCUGUCCUCUCAAAGCGCACUCAGGACUUUACCACAAACCUCAGUGGUCUUCGGGGAUGUUCCUCCGGGGUGACGACCUUCAUCAUUGACCUGGGACAGUCUUCGGGGAUGUUCCUCCUAGGUGGCCUCCCUAAAGGUGGCCAACAGAGCAGCCCCGUGGGAUUUUUUUCCUGUCCACUCCAUGGGUAUGCGGGAUUAGAUCUUCAAAAGCAACCACUGGGGGUCUUCGAGGAUGAUCCCCGGGAGUGCCCGAAACAGGAGCCCCUAUAGAUGGUUUUCUGCGCGUUCCACCCCUCUGCAUUUGGGGCCCUGCGAUGGUGGUGUACUUGUCAGUGUUCUCUAGCCAGGAGGAUGUGUGAAGGUGUCCAUCUUCUGUCAAAAAGGCAAGGGAUGAUUUUUUUAGGGCCUCUGUCCUCCACUGAGGAGACACUGGGCCAGGGCUGGACAUUUGCCAGUCACUAAACUCAGAGGUUCUGUGCCCAGCCUGAUCCUCAGUGACAAAAUAGAGAAGAUUUUCUUGGAGGUCCGUAGUACACGCUAAGGGCACACUGGCUGGUGUCCAUAAGCCACGAGGGUCUGCGCAUACUGCACUCCUUAGUCACAUAAAUUGGAGCCCCCAUGGAUUUUUUUGCCGGACUCCCAUCGUUCCCUGUAUGAGGGCCUAGGAUGCCAGAUAUUGGCUGAUGUCUAACCGCCAGGAAGGGCUGCUCAAAAAGUCUUCGUUCUGGAAAGCCACCGGAUCCCCUGAGAUGUUUUCUGCCCACAGCAGUGGAGUGCCAGUGAAACCUGGCAAAAGAAAGUUUGCCUAGGGUCACCUCCUAGAUGUCAGUGGGAGCUGGCCCUGUGGAUCUGGAUGGCUGGCUGGUGGUGGCUUGGCCUUCUGCUCCUUGCCCAUUGUGCUCCAUUGCCAAAGGCAAUGCUCUCUGCCCUUUGGGUGGGUCCAAGCCCUUUUCCUUGGUCUUAAUUCUAAUGCCAAAAGCAAAUUCAAUAUCCAAGAAAUGAGCUGUGGCCUGUGCCUUGGCUCUUGCUCUUGGAUCUGAGGCAAUUGAAUUUUGCAAACAGUCUGACCAUCAAUGUGCAUCGUGACUCUCUAUGCACCACCUCUAUGCUGCUGUGGGUGGGGCUGGAGGACAGACGGUGUCACAGGUGACUGGGGCUGAGCCAUGUGCUCGCUGGUAGUUUUCUGUUGCUGCCCUGUGUGUCAGUGAGAAUAGCUACAUCUGAGGAAACAAUUCAUAAGGCUUAUGGGUUAUGAGGUAUCUGUGGCUGUCAGAAGGGUUAGGAUUAACUGAAGGAUGGUCUGUCUCUGGUCAGAGGGUAGAUCCGACUCUGGAGGUCUUGUCUUCAACUCCACUUCCAUCCUCAAGUGCUUCAGAUCAUGUCCCGGGUGAGUUAGGCUGUCUUCUGCACCACAGUGCAGAGUUCAGCUCAGCACCUUGGACUGAAAGGGAUGAGGCACAAGAGGAGCUGUCGAGGAGAUGGCAGCGGAAGGAAGCACUUGGGGUUUCUAGGAAGAAUUGCCAAAGAAAUCUUUACCAUGUCCUAAGGACUGGAAAUUGAAAAGUUCUUAUAUAAGUUUUAGUACAUUUCUCUCCAAAGUAUGUAAAGCAUUCCUGAGGAGCAGGAGAGAAUACUUAGAUGUGUUUGUGUUGGCUCUGUGGUGGCUCUGCCAAGCUGCCAUACAUAACUUAAGGCAAGGAAAAUGUCAUUGAGGCUCACGGUUUCUGGUGUUUGUGUCAAGGCCACAGAGAGUAUGUGACAGGAGAGCCCCUCACAGCAUGGUAGCCAGGAAGCAGAGCUCAAAUGCCAGUGCUCAUGGCAAAGAUUUGUUCCUCUUAGCUCUACUGAGAUCAAACCAUAUCACUGUUAAAAGUACAUGUAUAAUUCAUUAUAUAAUAAAUAUACACUUACAUGUAAUAUAUUUUAUAAAAUACAGUAUCUAUACUA